rnacentral:tRNA from 1 species
UAUAUUUUGGUGUAAGUUGCACUUGGAAUUUUGAUUUCCAUUGAUUUAGUUAAAUUCUAAAAAGUAUAA